CCUAACGAGGAACGAUCGGAGGGCAAGUCUGGUGCCAGCAGCCGCGGUAAUUCCAGCUCCAAUAGCGUACGUUAAAGUUGCUGCAGUUAAAAAGCUCGUAGUUGAACGUUCGGGUUCCGCGGGACGGGGCCGCCCCGCGAGGGACGGCGCCGCCCCGGGGCUCGUGAUAUCUUAUCUCGCCGCCCGUCGCGAGGCGGACGGAGGGAUGGAUGAGGUUACCUGGAAAAAAUCGGGGCGAUCUAGGCGGGCGAACCUCGCCAACGAACGAUCGGACAUGGGAUAACGGAAGAGGGCGUCGGCUCGACUUCGUCGGUUCCUCGGGCCGAGGCACGUACGGUGAAUAGGGACGGUCGGGGCCGCCCGUACCGGGUCGUGAGAGGUGAAAUUCUAGGAUCGACCCGAGACGAACCGCCGCGAAAGCAUUCGGCAAGGACGCUUUCAUUAAUCAAGAACGAAAGUCGGGGGAUCGAAGACGAUCAGAUACCGUCGUAGUCCCGACCGUAAACGAUGCCGACCGAGGGCCCGGAGGAGUUACGUACGACCCUCC
rnacentral:rRNA from 1 species